UACGGCCAUUUUACUUUGAAUCAUUGGUUCUCGUACGAUCACCGAAGUUAAGCAACGUCGAGCCUGGUCUAUACCUAGAUGGGUGACUGUCUGCGAAUACCAGGUGCUAU